CCUGGCUCAGGACGAACGCUGGCGGCACGCUUAACACAUGCAAGUCGAACGAGAGAAGAGAAGCUUGCUUUUCUGAUCUAGUGGCGGACGGGUGAGUAACACGUGAGCAAUCUGCCUUUCAGAGGGGGAUACCGAUUGGAAACGAUCGUUAAUACCGCAUAACAUAAUUGAACCGCAUGAUUUGAUUAUCAAAGAUUUAUCGCUGAAAGAUGAGCUCGCGUCUGAUUAGCUAGUUGGUAAGGUAACGGCUUACCAAGGCGACGAUCAGUAGCCGGACUGAGAGGUUGAUCGGCCACAUUGGGACUGAGACACGGCCCAGACUCCUACGGGAGGCAGCAGUGGGGAAUAUUGCACAAUGGAGGAAACUCUGAUGCAGCGAUGCCGCGUGAGGGAAGAAGGUUUUAGGAUUGUAAACCUCUGUCUUCAGGGACGAAAAAAGACGGUACCUGAGGAGGAAGCUCCGGCUAACUACGUGCCAGCAGCCGCGGUAAUACGUAGGGAGCGAGCGUUGUCCGGAAUUACUGGGUGUAAAGGGAGCGUAGGCGGGAUCGCAAGUCAGAUGUGAAAACUAUGGGCUUAACCCAUAAACUGCAUUUGAAACUGUGGUUCUUGAGUGAAGUAGAGGUAAGCGGAAUUCCUAGUGUAGCGGUGAAAUGCGUAGAUAUUAGGAGGAACAUCAGUGGCGAAGGCGGCUUACUGGGCUUUAACUGACGCUGAGGCUCGAAAGCGUGGGGAGCAAACAGGAUUAGAUACCCUGGUAGUCCACGCCGUAAACGAUGAUUACUAGGUGUGGGGGGACUGACCCCUUCCGUGCCGCAGCAAACGCAAUAAGUAAUCCACCUGGGGAGUACGACCGCAAGGUUGAAACUCAAAGGAAUUGACGGGGGCCCGCACAAGCAGUGGAGUAUGUGGAUUAAUUCGAAGCAACGCGAAGAACCUUACCAGGUCUUGACAUCGUAUGCAUAGCUCAGAGAUGAGUGAAAUCUCUUCGGAGACAUAUAGACAGGUGGUGCAUGGUUGUCGUCAGCUCGUGUCGUGAGAUGUUGGGUUAAGUCCCGCAACGAGCGCAACCCUUACUGUUAGUUGCUACGCAAGAGCACUCUAGCAGGACUGCCGUUGACAAAACGGAGGAAGGUGGGGAUGACGUCAAAUCAUCAUGCCCCUUAUGACCUGGGCCUCACACGUACUACAAUGGCUGUCAACAGAGGGAAGCAAAGCCGCGAGGUGGAGCGAACCCCUAAAAGCAGUCUUAGUUCGGAUUGUAGGCUGCAACCCGCCUACAUGAAGUCGGAAUUGCUAGUAAUCGCAGAUCAGCAUGCUGCGGUGAAUACGUUCCCGGGCCUUGCACACACCGCCCG
rnacentral:rRNA from 1 species